CCGGCAGUGAUUUGAAAGGCUCUACUAUGGCGUAAUAUUUUCCAGUUUUCAUGUAUCCCAAUGUUAAAUGAUACAAGUAAUAAAGCUCUCCCUUCCCUUCCCCUGUAAGACUAUUCCAUACAUCACAUUGUGAACACAUUUUAUUUUUGGACUGUGAUGAACAUCUCACAGGACCGGGCCGGUGGCGAGGCCCAGAGCACGUGGUAGUGAUGGCAUCACAUGGAGCGAGGAACAACUGCCUUCCACCACACAGCACUGAGUGUGCUACGGAAACGAGCACAGAACUAAAAGCAAAGCAGCGCCAUUGGAGCGCUGCGUAAAACCCAGCAUAACCUGGGCUAAAUAAUCGCCUCACACCCAAAUGCUGCACAGCUAGUGGGUCUGCUCUGAAAAUAAUCAUCUGCCACCCCCUGCACAGGUCUCAGCAACAGGGUGGGGAUUCAGCCCCAAGGAGUUAGAUAGGAGUGCUCACAACUACACGCAUGUACUGAGAGAAUGGGAAAGGCUGACCUUGGAUGUACUGUGCUGUACCGGGCAAAGAGAACCGUCCUUGAUCCAGCUCAGGAAAGGGUGCCAGUACGCUCAGCAUCUGAAACACCUCGGUCGUCUAGCUUCCAUCUGUCUCGGUGAUGUCUAAAUGUGUCUGCACUGAACAUUUCCAGACCUGUGUUCAAUUCAUCUGAUUCCAAGUGUCUUCCUUCGGCCACUUUUGGUGCGGAUCAGCCAGCAUCCCAUUUAUGUUUUGAAAAACUACCCUGACCCCUUAACUUUAGUCCGAAAGAAAGUACUCUUUGAACGCUAGCUCCACACGCAAAGGAAGUUCUUAAUAUUACUGUAAAUGGAACCCAUCUCCACACGUGGCAUCUCAGACCUGUGGGUGCAUGGCAUACUGGAGAUUUACCCCAGGAAACGCAGGCAGAGCCAUUGCGACUCAGCAGUGAAGGUCACAGACCUGCUCUCCAGACCUUGACCUCAGCUGACUGAGCAAAUUGCCAACAGACCAGAGAAGUGGAGAGCGGGGGGAAGGGGUCAGCAGACGUUGGAGACAGAUGGCCCAAUUCAUCAUCCACCAGAAAUAAAUUAAAAAAUAAAAAUAAAAAGCUGCUCCAAGCGUUAUACACGCAGUGGUGAUUGUAAAUUCCACAACUGUGGAGGGCUGCCAAGCCAUUAUACACAUACCAAUACUGCAGUCUCUGUGCAUAACUCCAGAAAGGUGAAGUCAGGAGAAGCUGCAAAGCAUAAAGCGUGUUUAGCUCUCAGGAAAUCGGUUUGUAA
ensembl:lncRNA